rnacentral:rRNA from 1 species
GAUGAACGCUGGCGGCGUGCCUAAUACAUGCAAGUCGAUCGAGCUCCGCAAGGGGCUAGAGGCGUACGGGUGAGUAACACGUAGGUAACCUGCCCUCGAGUAUGGGAUACCCAGGCGAAAGCUUGGCUAAUACCGUAUAACGGGAGCGGCCGCAUGGCCGCUUUCUGAAAGGCGCCGUAAGGCGUCGCUCAUGGAUGGACCUGCGCUGCAUUAGCUAGUUGGCGGGGUAACGGCCCACCAAGGCUCGGAUGCAUAGCCGAUCUGAGAGGAUGACCGGCCACAAUGGGACUGAGACACGGCCCAUACUCCUACGGGAGGCAGCAGUAGGGAGUUUUCGGCAAUGGGGGAAACCCUGACCGAGCAACGCCGCGUGAGUGAUGAAGGUCUUCGGAUUGUAAAGCUCUGUUACGAGGGACGAAUGGCUUGUUUAGGAAAUGAGACAAGUUUGACGGUACCUCGCCAGAAAGUGACGGCUAACUACGUGCCAGCAGCCGCGGUAAUACGUAGGUCACAAGCGUUAUCCGGAAUUAUUGGGCGUAAAGAGUGAGCAGGCGGCACGGCAAGUCUGGAGUGAAAGCGUAAGGCUCAACCUUAUACAGCUUUGGAAACUACCGAGCUAGAGUACGUCAGAGGUAAACGGAACUCCAUGUGUAGCGGUGAAAUGCGUAGAUAUAUGGAAGAACACCAGUGGCGAAGGCGGUUUACCAGGACGAUACUGACGCUCAGUCACGAAAGCGUGGGGAGCAAAUAGGAUUAGAUACCCUAGUAGUCCACGCCGUAAACGAUGAUCACUAACUAUGGCCGAAAGGCCGUGGUGAAGCAAACGCAUUAAGUGAUCCGCCUGGGGAGUACGGUCGCAAGACUGAAACUUAAAGGAAUUGACGGGACCCCGCACAAGUAGUGGAGCAUGUGGUUUAAUUCGACGCUACGCGGAAAACCUUACCAGGGCUUGACAUCCCGGUGUUAGCUAUAGAGAUAUAGUGAGAUUGCCGGAGACAGGUGGUGCAUGGUUGUCGUCAGCUCGUGUCGUGAGAUGUUGGGUUAAGUCCCGCAACGAGCGCAACCCUCGUCUUUAGUUACCAUCAUUAAGUUGGGGACUCUAGAGAGACUGCCGAUGCAAAUCGGAGGAAGGUGGGGAUGACGUCAAAUCAGCAUGCCCUUUAUGUCCUGGGCUACACACGUGCUACAAUGGCCGGUACAAAGAGAUACGAAGGAGCGAAUCCGGAGCAAAACUCAUAAAGCCGGCCUCAGUUCAGACUGGAGGCUGCAAAUUCGCCUCCACGAAGGCGGAAUUACUAGUAAUCGCGAAAUCAGCAUGUCGCGGUGAAUACGUUCCCGGGGUU